rnacentral:rRNA from 1 species
UACGGGGGGGGGCAAGCGUUGUUCGGAAUUACUGGGCGUAAAGGGCUCGUAGGCGGCCAACUAAGUCGGACGUGAAAUCCCCCAGGCUCAACCUGGGAACUGCGUCUGAUACUGGAUGGCUUGAAUCCGGGAGAGGGAUGCGGAAUUCCAGGUGUAGCGGUGAAAUGCGCAGAUAUCGGGAGGAACACCAGUGGCGAAGGCGACUACCUGGCCUGUUCUUGACGCUGAGGCGCGAAAGCUAGGGGAGCAAACGGG